GUUGCCAGCGGUUCGGCCGGGCACUCUAACGGGACUGCCCGCGAAAGCGGGAGGAAGGAGGGGACGACGUCUGGUCAGCAUGGCCCUUACGGCCUGGGCGACACACGUGCUACAAUGCCCACUACAAAGCGAUGCCACCCGGCAACGGGGAGCUAAUCGCAAAAAGGUGGGCCCAGUUCGGAUUGGGGUCUGCAACCCGACCCCAUGAAGCCGGAAUCGCUAGUAAUCGCGGAUCAGCCAUGCCGCGGUGAAUACGUUCCCGGGCCUU
rnacentral:rRNA from 1 species